rnacentral:misc_RNA from 1 species
AAGGAUUUGUUUAAUGAUGGCACAGGGAGGUUGGCAAAAUUAUAAGAGCCAGUUGUAGCAUAAGUACAAAUAUCAAACUUCAUCAGUUCCAUGGCCAAUCUUUCUUUCUAAGAACCUGAGCCACGCCUGCUAUACAUUUCCCAGCACUAAAACAAUCCAUUUAUCAUAAUCACCUCAUUGAAUGCAUCCCUAGUUCCCCGACUUUAAACAACCAUUUCUCACUUGCCUCCACAGCUUAACCAAUCUUUAAUUUCUUCAUCUUU